AGGGAUCACAGUUGAGUUUGAGAUGUAUCCUGAUUCAAUCUUCCUAAAAAGAGUUUCUGGGAUUUCCUACUUGUGGUUCCUGAGAUAGUGCUGCAAGUCUCAAAUAACCAGAUACAUAA
rnacentral:snoRNA from 1 species